rfam:Rattus norvegicus chromosome 11, whole genome shotgun sequence.
GGGGAUUUAGCUCAGUGGUAGAGCGCUUGCCUAGCAAAUGCAAGUCCCUGGGUUCAGUCCCCA